rnacentral:sRNA from 1 species
CGCGUGCAGUGGGCGUGCUUUUUCUCCAGGGAGCGUCGCAAAGGAGGCGCCGGAGUAGGGGGACGCAAUUACACAGUGAAACUUGGUGUUCCCGGCUAGUCAUUCAAAUCGAAGCUGUCGCAGACCUCUGAACGUUAGUAACGCAACAUGUGUUUCUCCGCGACUACAGACCUCGGGAGAGGAGCGAGUGAAGAUACACAACAGCAAAUCAUCAGGGAGACUUUCCAUUUGGUAUCUAAGAGAGAUGAAAAUGUUUGUAAUUUCCUAGAAGGAGGAUUAUUAAUUGGAGGAUCUGACAACAAACUGAUUUAUAGACAUUAUGCAACGUUAUAUUUUGUCUUCUGUGUGGAUUCUUCAGAAAGUGAACUUGGCAUUUUAGAUCUAAUUCAAGUA